UCUACCUAUUAAAGGCGUUUUCAUGUCAAGUUCGUAGCAAAAUCUCAACGAAGUAGCAAAGUUGACAUUUCAUUACUAUUAUUACUCUAUUCUAUUGUGUAUUUUCCGCUUUCAGCCUUUGCCUGUAGAAUUUAACAUAAGUUACUAUUUCUUUGUUGAGAUAAUUAAAAUAUAUUAGCAGUGUAUGUGUUGGAGUUCAAGAAGUUAUGUGGUUUCUCAAAAAAAAAAAAUUAAAAAAAAGAAAAGAUCUACUCUAUUUUAUUGUGUAUUUCUCUGAAUGUUUGUUCAAGUAUGAUGGACAUUCAGAUGCUCUUGUAGGACACCAGAUUCACUCGCUGCUUAACUGGGAUAUCUAUGUGUACACAUGAAUCUCCAUAGGUUAUUAAUUAACUGUCUAAUAUUUUGUGUAAGACAAAGAUAAAGAGUUAACAGUAUUAGAAUCUUUAUCUUCUAAAAGAAGAAGAGAGGGGUUAUAAAAUCAGAAUAUAUUGCCUUCCACUCGGGUACAGCUUAGUUAGGUGAAGACUAAUUGAAAAUUAUUUAGUUAGGUGGCUCAGUUAAAAGAAUGUCUACACACCUACUUCUUAUAUAUAUAUUAUCUACAAUCAAGUUUUUGACUUGUUUCACCAACUGCCUUCUAGACUACAAACCCUUUCUCUAUGCAAAUAUUUUGCAAGUGUUCUUUUGAAGAUAUCUUAUGAUCCUCUUGGACCUUGGUUGUUACAUAAAGAAUCAAGCUGCAAAGUACCUGCCAAUAUAAAGUCAUGAUAUACACCUAAGCAUAUAUCAAUGGUCCAUCUUACUAAAACAUAUAGAACAUUGUUCAUAGGUAGAUCUCUUCAUAUGGUUCUGAAGGCUAUUCUUCUUUCUCUAAUUUGUCUUCUUUGACUAUUAGUUCAUUUUUCGUCCACCAAAGACCUCUUAGACAGUUGAAGAAUAUUACAAGAUUAUAAUCCUCAAAACAAAGGUAAGUUCUACUAGACUACUUCAAUGAAUUUCAAUGUUCAAAAUAAAAAGAAGUUUAUUCAUGACUCAAAGCUUCUUACCGAAAAAUGAUUUUCAAUCCAAAAAUUCUCAAUCCUGUAUUAAGGAUUGAUCCUCUUAUCACACCUGGUGGUAUUGUUAUGAUGUGAAUGAUGACCUACUUAAAUGCUCGAAUACCUAAAAGUUAGAUAGAUGUUUUGCUAGUGACUUGGAUCGACGUAUUUUGACUCUAGUAUAUUACUGGCCUUCCUUAAUCAGAAAUAUGUCACAAGUGGAAGCCUCCUGUGCCAGGUAGCUUUAAACUGAAUACAGAUGGGGCUGUGAAAGAAAGCCCCGGACCAGGAGGCCUUGGAGGUGUUAUCAGAACCAUAGAGGUGACUCGAUCAUUGGCUUUUAUCAGCAAAGAAGCCCAUGUUAACUCAAUCCUGGCAAGGUUCGUGCGCUAAGACAAGGUUAUUAAUGGAGAAGCUGGGAGCAGCGAUGCCAACAGACAUAUUUCGGGAGCAGAAUAAAGUGUCAGACAAGCUUAGCCAGGAAGGUCUCUAGUGCAGUGCUUUCAGAGAUCCAACCUUUUUGAUAGUUCCUUCAAUGGUGGAAGAACACGAAAUUGAAGAAGGAGAAAUUUAUGAUGAUUCUCACAUUAAUUUAUUGAAAAUUCAAAAGGAAGAAAACGAAGUUGAAGGAGAAAUAUAUGACGAUUCUCAUAUAGACUUUGAUGCUAAGAUUCAAACUGUUUAGUGCAAUUAUAUGAAAGAAUUUGAAGGAGCUGUUUCUGCUGAGAAUUUGGGGCAAAAAGCUGGUGUUAAUGGUUCGUUUUGGCGAGUGAUCAACUUGUAACUCAACCACAAAUAUCUCAAAAACUCCCUACCCCUCUUUCUUCUCACAAACCCAUUAGGAUUAGGAUUAAGUUUCGGUCUUCUGAUAAUACUGCUGCUCCGAAGAGUCUGAGAAGACACACUGCCCAGAGCUGACUUCUGGGGAUAAGCCACAAGUUGUUCCUUUCAUUAUACAAGGAGAUUCGAUUUGCUGUUGUACAUGUCGGAAGUGGAGGCUUCUGCAUAUGGUAUAAAACCCCAUCAAUUGACUCAGAGUUGGGCUCUGUACUAUGUUAGACUGGCUUCCUGGCAUGAAUUGUUGUAACAUUAGUGAGGACCAUACAACAAAAGCUCUACAUUUCCUGUACCAAAGUCUCAUUCAAAGUAACUUCCAAAAUCGUGGUGCUAAGGGUUCGGUUGAUGUAAAAGCAUAUAACGGAAGGGAAGUUUCAGUAAAGAAAAGAAAAUCGAGGAAACAAGACUAUAUAGGUAAUCAAUUGGGUGAAAGUGAUGCCAAUGCUUUUGAGAGGAAAUUCAGAAAACAGAAGAAGUCUAAGGCGAUUCAGACCGAAGAAAAAAAAUCCAGUAGAAGCAAGGGUGAAGGGAAAUCAAGAAGGAGAGAUACAGGAUUCAAAGAUUCUGCUCAUAUAUAGAGAGAACACAAGACAAACAAGUAUAGAGUAAGCAUCAGUCUCAAGCAGAAUCUGGCAUGAUCCGCAAACCAGUUUACAAGGCCAUUGGAUAUGGGAAGGUUGCAAGGCCCUACAUUGCAAUUUAGUAGAGGAAUUACUGUAUUAGCUGUCAUUGGUUCUUUUUUCUUGUUUUCUGUUAAAUUUGUUUAUAUGUUGAAAGUAUAUGAAAAAUAAGCAACUGAUUCUGCUUCACAAA